rnacentral:lncRNA from 1 species
AGAGUGGCUGAAUUCCUGAUUAUUUGAUCCAUUAUUGUUAUUAAUAUGAAUAAUAAACUAUUUAUUGAUUUCAUUAUUCUUUCUGACUUAAUAGCCUGCAUUAUGGCAUUUGCUUAAAUGACCCCCAACUUCCAGCCCUGUAAAUGACCUCACUCCGAUAGUAUCGUUGGUCCUUGUGUGUACCUUUGCACAUGCUCAAAGAAAGAUGCCAGACAGGUCUUUCCAGUGUGACUUGAUUCCUGCUCUGUGACCCCGCUUGAGUUAAGUGAUAAGAACACCAGCUUGCUCACUGCUGAUUGCUCAGGCACAGCUGUGUGUGCUGUGAAUGUGUCUCGAGUAUUUCCUGGCCCAGACCAUGAACUGCAACUCGUGGGACGGAAGCUACCUUCCUCUUGCUUGUGAAUUCUCCGCAGAUGGUAAAAUGCCAAUCUCAGGAUCAUGACCACACCAGAGAAGAACUACAAGAAGGCUUUUUCACCUUUGACACCACGGACGCCCAGUCUGAUCUGUUUUUGCACAUAAUUAAAUGUAUUCUUCUACGUUUAUGGCUUUGAGAUUUAAAAGACUGUGUAUGUGCUUUCCAACCAUAAAAAUCAUUCCUGCACACAG